UACGUAGGUGGCAAGCGUUGUCCGGAUUUACUGGGCGUAAAGAGCGUGUAGGCGGCCUGACAGGUCUGCUGUGAAAACUCGAGGCUCAACCUCGAGAUGUCGGCGGAAACCGUCUGGCUAGAGUCCGGAAGAGGAGAGUGGAAUUCCUGGUGUAGCGGUGAAAUGCGCAGAUAUCAGGAAGGACACCUAUGGCGAAGGCAGCUCUCUGGGACGGUACUGACGCUGAGACGCGAAAGCGUGGGGAGCGAACAGG
rnacentral:rRNA from 1 species